rnacentral:tRNA from 1 species
GCAGGUGAGACCUACUUCCACUCUUAAUGGGGCGGUCGCGGGUUCGAGUCCCGUCACCGGCU